rnacentral:tRNA from 2 species
GGAGACGUGCCUGAGUGGCCGAAAGGAGCGGUUUGCUAAACCGUCGUACGCCUAAAGUGUACCCAGGGUUCGAAUCCCUGCGUCUCCG